GACGAACGCUGGCGGCGUGCUUAACACAUGCAAGUCGAACGGAAAGGCCUCUUUCGGGGGUUACUCGAGUGGCGAACGGGUGAGUAACACGUGAGUAACCUGCCGUUGACUUUGGGAUAACUUCAGGAAACUGGGGCUAAUACCGGAUAGGAGCUCGUGAGGCAUGGUGGGGGGUGGAGAGUUUCGGCGGUUGGGGGUGGACUGGCGGCAUAUCAGCUUGCUGGUGGGGUAGUGGCUCACCGAGGCGGUUACGUGUAUGCGGCCAGAGAGGGUGAACGGCGGCCCUGGGACUGAGAGGAGGCACCGGCUCGGACGGGUGGAAGCAGGGGGAAAUAUUGAACCAUGGGUGGCAGCCUGAUGCAGAAACGCCUCGGGCGGGAUAACGCUUUUAGGGUUGUGAAACGCUAUCGAGUAUGACGCUGCCUUGUGUGACGGUACCAGCUAAAGAAGCACCGGCUAACUACGUG
rnacentral:rRNA from 1 species